GAUGAACGCUAGCGGCAGGCUUAAUACAUGCAAGUCGAGGGGCAGCAUGACUGUAGCAAUACAGUUGAUGGCGACCGGCAAACGGGUGCGGAACACGUACAGAACCUUCCUUCGAGCGGGGAAUAGCCCAGAGAAAUUUGGAUUAAUACCCCAUAGUACAACGGAGUGGCAUCACUUUGUUGUUAAAGAUUUAUCACUUGAAGAUGGCUGUGCGGCUGAUUAGGUAGUUGGCGGGGUAACGGCCCACCAAGCCUGCGAUCAGUAACUGGUGGGAGAGCACGACCAGUCACACGGGCACUGAGACACGGGCCCGACUCCUACGGGAGGCAGCAGUAAGGAAUAUUGGUCAAUGGACGAAAGUCUGAACCAGCCAUGCCGCGUGGAGGAUGAAGGUCCUCUGGAUUGUAAACUUCUUUUAUAUGGGACGAAAAAAGGGUUUUCUAACUCGUCUGACGGUACCAUAUGAAUAAGCACCGGCUAACUCCGUGCCAGCAGCCGCGGUAAAAC
rnacentral:rRNA from 1 species